CGGCGAGUGAAGAGGGAAAAGCUCAAAGUUGGAACCUGGCUGCCCUAGGCAGUCCGGAUUGUAAACUAAAGAGCGUGAUUCCAGGCAAGCCGGUUGACCAAGUCCUUUGGAAUGAGGCGCCACUGAGGGUGAGAGCCCCGUAAGUCGACUGAGCAUUUGUCUUUUGUGUUUCGCGUUCAAAGAGUCAGGUUGUUYGGGAAUGCAGCCUAAAGCUGGUGGUAAAUCCCACCUAAAGCUAAAUACAGGCGAGAGACCGAUAGCGAACAAGUACCGUGAGGGAAAGAUGAAAAGAACUUUGAAAAGAGAGUUAAACAGUAUGUGAAAUUGCCAAGAGGGAAGCAUUUGGAGUUAGAUUGACUAGGAGUUAAUCAGCUUGGUCUUUGGACUGGGUGUACUUGACUUCUUACAGUCUGCCAAUAGCAGUUAGUCCUAGUGGAAAAAACCAGAGGGAAGGUAGUCCUUCGGGAUGUUUAUAGACCUUUGGAAAAUACACUGGGAUUGACUGAGGAAUGCAGUAGAUGCCACUAAGGCUUCGUCUAGUGGGUGCUAGGCAAAGGUACUUGGUAUUUUCAGCUUGCUGAUGUGCUAGGUUACUCGAGUCUAGUCGCCUACUAGAACUGUAAUCUACUUUGGUUAUUGGCUUAAUGACUCU
rnacentral:rRNA from 1 species